UUCUCUCCUUCUACCUUGUCGUGAUGAAGCUUACGGUUAAGACCCUCAAAGGAAGUCACUUUCAAAUUGAGGUUCAGCCUACAGACACCGUGAUGGACUGCAAUCUUGGGAAGACAAUUGUUGGGAUUCUUCCUGCUGUGUCUUUUUUCAAUUUGUGUGCCCCCACCCCUCACAUAUCUUCUCUCCACUUCGGAGGUUUUUGUUUGGGACUCUUUUAUUUGGAACUUGUCCUUUACAUGGCACAUUUGAGACAUGAGGAAAAUAAGGACUGGGCAUGUAUGAAAACUAUCUUAGGAAAUUAUCACCUAACAAACAGGAAAACUGCUAUUUGGUUGGAUUUUUAGAAAAUUUUUUGUUC